GUCGAACGCUUGUGUGCUUCAACUGAUUUGAAGAGCUUGCUCAGAUAUGACGAUGGACAUUGCAAAGAGUGGCGAACGGGUGAGUAACACGUGGGAAACCUACCUCUUAGCAGGGGAUAACAUUUGGAAACAGAUGCUAAUACCGUAUAACAAUGACAACCGCAUGGUUGUUAUUUAAAAGAUGGUUCUGCUAUCACUAAGAGAUGGUCCCGCGGUGCAUUAGCUAGUUGGUAAGGUAAUGGCUUACCAAGGCGAUGAUGCAUAGCCGAGUUGAGAGACUGAUCGGCCACAAUGGGACUGAGACACGGCCCAUACUCCUACGGGAGGCAGCAGUAGGGAAUCUUCCACAAUGGGCGAAAGCCUGAUGGAGCAACGCCGCGUGUGUGAUGAAGGGUUUCGGCUCGUAAAACACUGUUGUAAGAGAAGAAUGACAUUGAGAGUAACUGUUCAAUGUGUGACGGUAUCUUACCAGAAAGGAACGGCUAAAUACGUGCCAGCAGCCGCGGUAAUACGUAUGUUCCAAGCGUUAUCCGGAUUUAUUGGGCGUAAAGCGAGCGCAGACGGUUAUUUAAGUCUGAAGUGAAAGCCCUCAGCUCAACUGAGGAAUUGCUUUGGAAACUGGAUGACUUGAGUGCAGUAGAGGAAAGUGGAACUCCAUGUGUAGCGGGUGAAAUGCGUAGAUAUAUGGAAGAACACCAGUGGCGAAGGCGGCUUUCUGGACUGUAACUGACGUUGAGGCUCGAAAGUGUGGGGUAGCAAACAGGAUUAGAUACCCUGGUAGUCCACACCGUAAAACGAUGGAGUGCUAGUGUUUGAGGGUUUCCGCCCUUAGUGGCCGGCAGCCUAACGCAUUAAGCACUCCGCCUGGGGAGUA
rnacentral:rRNA from 1 species